AACAAUGAAAAUAAAGAUGAAAAGAUACAUUGAGAAUUCAUUUUCAGUAAAAAGCAGAACUGUGACACAGGAGCAUCACCUGUGAAAGGUUACAAAUGAUACAAAUGACACCAAUAAAGGAUAUAUGAGCAACUAAACAGGAGGCAGUUACAAAAUUAAUAAACAAAGACAGAAAACUUGCAAGUGAUCCUGCAUGAGAACUGAACUCCAGACAGUAUCGUUACCAAACAGUAUUCUUUUGGAGGGAAUUCUGUUUAAAGAAAUUGGAGGGAAAAAGUCGAAGAUGAUUAUUUCAAGUGUCACUUUUUAAACCCACUUUCUUCACUGGACAGCCAUAACACCACAUACAGCAGAACUCGUUUAGUACAAACACGGAUAUUGUGAAUUUACGGAUAAAGCGAAGUCAUCUUGGAUCCC